UACGUAGGGGGCAAGCGUUGUCCGGAAUUAUUGGGCGUAAAGCGCACGUAGGCGGUUUGUUAUGUCGGAUGUGAAAGCCCUUGGCUCAACUGAGGAAGUGCAUCCGAAACUGGCAAGCUAGAGUAUGUAAGAGGGUCGCGGAAUUCCCGGUGUAGAGGUGAAAUUCGUAGAUAUCGGGAGGAACACCGGUGGCGAAGGCGGCGACCUGGGACAAUACUGACGCUGAGGUGCGAAAGCGUGGGGAGCAAACAGG
rnacentral:rRNA from 1 species